rnacentral:lncRNA from 11 species
CAGCUUGCUUUCCCUCCCAGUGGUGACAGGCAACUUCAAUUUAAAGAGGAAUGGCCUCUUUGGCUUCACACCAACUGAUUUUGGGAGACUUAUGAGGUUUGCUGAACUGUAACAAAAAGUCAUAGGUGAACAAUCAGCCCCUCAACACUCAGAAAAUCUGGUUAAGAAGAAUAACACCCAGGGCGCUCCUUAUGUUCUUACAACUAGACAACUGCAGAGGAAAAGGAUGCAACAUAUGGCAGGAAGAACAGCUUUAAGCAUCACAUUAAGGUGAAGGUGCACCUGCUUAGGUAAUAAUUGUAAGGGCAUAGCUAUUGCAAAU